UCUCCUGGAAACGGGUGGUAAUGCCGGAUGCUCCAGUUGACCGCAUGGUCCUCUGGGAAAGCUUUUGCGGUAUGGGAUGGGGUCGCGUCCUAUCAGCUUGAUGGCGGGGUAACGGCCCACCAUGGCUUCGACGGGUAGCCGGCCUGAGAGGGCGACCGGCCACAUUGGGACUGAGAUACGGCCCAGACUCCUACGGGAGGCAGCAGUGGGGAAUAUUGCACAAUGGGCGCAAGCCUGAUGCAGCGACGCCGCGUGCGGGAUGACGGCCUUCGGGUUGUAAACCGCUUUUGACUGGGAGCAAGCCCUUCGGGGUGAGUGUACCUUUCGAAUAAGCACCGGCUAACUACGUGCCAGCAGCCGCGGUAAUACGUAGGGUGCAAGCGUUAUCCGGAAUUAUUGGGCGUAAAGGGCUCGUAGGCGGUUCGUCGCGUCCGGUGUGAAAGUCCAUCGCUUAACGGUGGAUCCGCGCCGGGUACGGGCGGGCUUGAGUGCGGUAGGGGAGACUGGAAUUCCCGGUGUAACGGUGGAAUGUGUAGAUAUCGGGAAGAACACCACCCGU
rnacentral:rRNA from 1 species